rnacentral:rRNA from 1 species
GGGCGAAUGAGUUGCAGGGUAUAGACCCGAAACCCGGUGAGCUAGCCAUGGGCAGGUUGAAGGUUGGGUAACACUAACUGGAGGACCGAACCGACUAAUGUUGAAAAAUUAGCGGAUGACCUGUGGCUGGGGGUGAAAGGCCAAUCAAACCGGGAGAUAGCUGGUUCUCCCCGAAAGCUAUUUAGGUAGCGCCUCGUGAAUUCAUCUUCGGGGGUAGAGCACUGUUUCGGCUAGGGGGCCAUCCCGGCUUACCAACCCGAUGCAAACUGCGAAUACCGAAGAAUGGUAUCACGGGAGACACACGGCGGGUGCUAACGUCCGUCGUGAAGAGGGAAACAACCCAGACCGCCAGCUAAGGUCCCGAAGUCAUGGUUAAGUGGGAAACGAUGUGGGAAGGCCCAGACAGCCAGGAUGUUGGCUUAGAAGCAGCCAUCAUUGAAAGAAAGCGUAAUAGCUCACUGGUCGAGUCGGCCUGCGCGGAAGAUGUAACGGGGCUAAACCAUGCACCGAAGCUGCGGCAAUGACAUUUAGGUGUUAUUGGGUAGGGGAGCGUUCUGUAAGCCGUUGAAGGCGGCGCUGUGAGGCCCGCUGGAGGUAUCAGAAGUGCGAAUGCUGACAUAAGUAACGAUAAAGCGGGUGAAAAACCCGCUCGCCGGAAGACCAAGGGUUCCUGUCCAACGUUAAUCGGGGCAGGGUGAGUCGACCCCUAAGGCGAGGCCGAAAGGCGUAGCUGAUGGGAAACAGGUUAAUAUUCCUGUACUGAAUGUGACUGCGAAGGGGGGACGGAGAAGGCUAGGCCAUCCGGGCGACGGUUGUCCCGGUUUAAGCGUGUAGGUGGGAGGAGCAGGCAAAUCCGCUCUUCUGUAACACUGAGGCGUGAUGACGAGCUGCUACGGCAGUGAAGUGGCUGAUGCCCGGCUUCCAGGAAAAGCCUCUAAGCGUCAGGUCAUAUUGAAUCGUACCCCAAACCGACACAGGUGGUCAGGUAGAGAAUACUCAGGCGCUUGAGAGAACUCGGGUGAAGGAACUAGGCAAAAUGGUGCCGUAACUUCGGGAGAAGGCACGCUGGCGGUAGGUGAGGGGCUUUGCGCCCGGAGCCGAAGCCAGUCGCAGAGACCAGCUGGCUGCAACUGUUUAUUAAAAACACAGCACUGUGCCAACACGUAAGUGGACGUAUACGGUGUGACGCCUGCCCGGUGCUGGAAGGUUAAUUGAUGGGGUUAGCCGCAAGGCGAGGCUCUUGAUCGAAGCCCCAGUAAACGGCGGCCGUAACUAUAACGGUCCUAAGGUAGCGAAAUUCCUUGUCGGGUAAGUUCCGACCUGCACGAAUGGCGUAAUGAUGGCCAGGCUGUCUCCACCCGAGACUCAGUGAAAUUGAACUCGCUGUGAAGAUGCAGUGUCCCCGCGGCAAGACGGAAAGACCCCGUGAACCUUUACUAUAGCUUGACACUGAACAUGGAGCCUUGAUGUGUAGGAUAGGUGGGAGGCC